rnacentral:rRNA from 1 species
CAAGCCGUUGAUCUUUAGUUGGUCUGAGAGGAUGAUCAACCACACUGGAACUGAGACAAGGUCCAGGCUAAAUAUAUUAGCCAGCAGUGAGGAAUAUUGGACAAUGAACGAAAGUUUGAUCCAGCAAUACUAUGUGAAUGAUGACGGCUAUUUUGGUUGUAAAGUUCUUUCAUUAAAAAUGAUAAUGACAUUAUUUAAAGAAGUUUAGUCCCGGCUAAUCUCGUGCCAGCAGCCGCGGUAAUACGGGAGGGGCAAGCGUCAUCUGGAAUAACUGGGCGUAAAGGGUUCGUAGACUGUAUUACAAGUUAUUUGUUAAAAUCUAAAGCUUAACUU